AUCGGAAGUCGGGCGAUCGCGUUUUUGUCUUUUGGCAAAACCGAGGAAAGUCCGGGCUCCACAGAAACAAGGAUGCCGGAUAACGUCCGGCGGGAGAAAUCCUAGGGAAAGUGCCACAGAAAAUAUACCGCCUCUUUAUAGGGGUAAGGGUGAAAUGGUGCGGUAAGAGCGCACCGCAUUGCUGGUAACAGGAAUGGCAGGGUAAACCCCAUCCGGAGCAAGACCAAAUAGGGAUAACAUUACGGUGUGUUUCUGCAUCGUUAUCCGGGUAGGUCGCUCGAGCCCUUCGGUAACAAAGGGCCUAGAUAAAUGAUCGCCCCUGAUUUUAUCAGGACAGAACCCGGCUUAUAGACUUCCGAUACUU
rnacentral:RNase_P_RNA from 1 species